AUGCCGCACCAUCAGGAACUCCAGCGUCUCCCAGAUCCUCUCCUUUCUUAUUCUUCCCUGCCUCUGUGCACGCCGCACCACCGGAACUACACCACCACCCAGGUCCUCUCUCCUCCCUCCUUCUUCCUCUCUUCCUUCCAGUUCUUUCUUUUUUCACUUGGCCAUGAGCAGGUGCAUGUACGCAGGGAGCCCUUCCAUGUUGCCGUCGCGCUGCCGCUACCACCCUCUGCCUCACCUCCAUGCGGGAGAAGCUACGACAGCAUCAUCGACCGUCCCGGGUCGUCCUUCGCCUCGCUCACGUGGGAUGCAAUGCGGGCUGGAGUGUCGGUGCCGCGAGGCCGCUCGCCAAAAGCAUCUGAUGUGUGGCCGAGGCAUUGCUCCAACGGGCAGGGGGCGCAGUGA
rnacentral:rRNA from 1 species